rnacentral:lncRNA from 1 species
CCCUGGCUUCUUCCUGCUUAUUCAGAAACCUUGUGAUUCAGCCAUGACCCAUCCCCUAUAAUUUCUCUGAAAAAGUGAUCUUUGCUGGAUUUGGUUCUCCAGUUGAGCUGCUUAGGCAAGAGAAAGUCAUGGAAGACAUCCUGAGUCGAGAGUUGUGGGAUACGGACUUUUCCUUUCUCUGCUGUUCAUUCUCCUGUGACCUUGAGGAAAUCACUUCAUUCUGGUCCUCUGCCUGCUCACUUAGGUGGUCGAUAACUCUUCAUGCAGAAUUUCCUUUUACUGAACGCUUAAAUCAGAGACUGGCUCAGCAUAUGUCAUGUUCCAUUGUCGAUGAUGAAAAUAUGAUUCUGAGGCUCUGCUGCCUUCUGCAUCCUCUUUUGUCUGUUGACAUUCCACUGCUUCCUGAGGCCUUUGCUGGUGGUUCC